AUUGAACGCUGGCGGAAUGCUUUACACAUGCAAGUCGAACGGCAGCAUAGGUGCUUGCACCUGAUGGCGAGUGGCGAACGGGUGAGUAAUACAUCGGAACGUGCCCAGUCGUGGGGGAUAAAGUAGCGAAAGUUACGCUAAUAACGAAUACGAUCUAAGGAUGAAAGCGGGGGACCGUAAGGCCUCGCGCGAUUGGAGCGGCCGAUGUCAGAUUAGGUAGUUGGUGAGGUAAAGGCUCACCAAGCCGACGAUCUGUAGCUGGUCUGAGAGGACGACCAGCCACACUGGGACUGAGACACGGCCCAGACUCCUACGGGAGGCAGCAGUGGGGAAUUUUGGACAAUGGACGCAAGUCUGAUCCAGCCAUUCCGCGUGCAGGACGAAGGCCUUCGGGUUGUAAACUGCUUUUGUACGGAACGAAAAAGCUCUUACUAAUACUAGGAGUCCAUGACGGUACCGUAAGAAUAAGCACCGGCUAACUACGUGCCAGCAGCCGCGGUAA
rnacentral:rRNA from 1 species